CCUACGGGAGGCUGCAGUGAGGAAUAUUGGUCAAUGGACGAGAGUCUGAACCAGCCAAGUAGCGUGAAGGAUGACUGCCCUAUGGGUUGUAAACUUCUUUUAUAAAGGAAUAAAACGAGGCACGUGUGCCUUUUUGCAUGUACUUUAUGAAUAAGGAUCGGCUAACUCCGUGCCAGCAGCCGCGGUAAUACGGAGGAUCCGAGCGUUAUCCGGAUUUCUUGGGUUUAAAGGGAGCGUAGAUGGGUUGUUAAGUCAGUUGUGAAAGUUUGCGGCUCAACCGUAAAAUUGCAAUUGAUACUGGCAGUCUUGAGUACAGUUGAGGUAGGCGGAAUUCGUGGUGUAGCGGUGAAAUGCUUAGAUAUCACGAAGAACUCCGAUUGCGAAGGCAGCUUACUAAACUGCCACUGACAUUGAUGCUCGAAAGUGUGGGUAUCAAACAGGAUUAGAUACCCCUGUAGUC
rnacentral:rRNA from 1 species